rnacentral:rRNA from 2 species
GUGGAGCCGACCUUGAAAUACCACCCUUUAAUGUUUGAUGUUCUAACGUGGACCCGUAAUCCGGGUUGCGGACAGUGUCUGGUGGGUAGUUUGACUGGGGCGGUCUCCUCCUAAAGAGUAACGGAGGAGCACGAAGGUUGGCUAAUCCUGGUCGGACAUCAGGAGGUUAGUGCAAUGGCAUAAGCCAGCUUGACUGCGAGCGUGACGGCGCGAGCAGGUGCGAAAGCAGGUCAUAGUGAUCCGGUGGUUCUGAAUGGAAGGGCCAUCGCUCAACGGAUAAAAGGUACUCCGGGGAUAACAGGCUGAUACCGCCCAAGAGUUCAUAUCGACGGCGGUGUUUGGCACCUCGAUGUCGGCUCAUCACAUCCUGGGGCUGAAGUAGGUCCCAAGGGUAUGGCUGUUCGCCAUUUAAAGUGGUACGCGAGCUGGGUUUAGAACGUCGUGAGACAGUUCGGUCCCUAUCUGCCGUGGGCGCUGGAGAACUGAGGGGGGCUGCUCCUAGUACGAGAGGACCGGAGUGGACGCAUCACUGGUGUUCGGGUUGUCAUGCCAAUGGCACUGCCCGGUAGCUAAAUGCGGAAGAGAUAAGUGCUGAAAGCAUCUAAGCACGAAACUUGCCCCGA